AUGUGGAGCCGUAGCGAAAGCGAGUCUGAAUAGGGCGAAUGAGUAUUUGGUCGUAGACCCGAAACCAGGUGAUCUACCCUUGGUCAGGUUGAAGUUCAGGUAACACUGAAUGGAGGACCGAACCGACUUACGUUGAAAAGUGAGCGGAUGAACUGAGGGUAGCGGAGAAAUUCCAAUCGAACUUGGAGAUAGCUGGUUCUCUCCGAAAUAGCUUUAGGGCUAGCCUCAAGUGAUGAUUAUUGGAGGUAGAGCACUGUUUGGACGAGGGGCCCCUCUCGGGUUACCGAAUUCAGACAAACUCCGAAUGCCAAAUAAUUUAACUUGGGAGUCAGAAUGUGGGUGAUAAGGUCCAUAUUCGAAAGGGAAACAGCCCAGACCACCAGCUAAGGUCCCAAAAUAUAUGUUAAGUGGAAAAGGAUGUGGCGUUGCCCAGACAACUAGGAUGUUGGCUUAGAAGCAGCCAUCAUUUAAAGAGUGCGUAAUAGCUCACUAGUCGAGUGACACUGCGCCGAAAAUGUACCGGGGCUAAACAUAUUACCGAAGCUGUGGAUUGUCCUUUGGACAAUGGUAGGAGAGCGUU
rnacentral:rRNA from 1 species